rnacentral:rRNA from 1 species
GACGAACGCUGGCGGCGUGCUUAACACAUGCAAGUCGAACGGAAAGGCCCUGCUUUUGUGGGGUGCUCGAGUGGCGAACGGGUGAGUAACACGUGAGUAACCUGCCCUUGACUUUGGGAUAACUUCAGGAAACUGGGGCUAAUACCGGAUAGGAGCUCCUGCUGCAUGGUGGGGGUUGGAAAGUUUCGGCGGUUGGGGAUGGACUAGCGGCUUAUCAGCUUGUUGGUGGGGUAGUGGCUUACCAAGGCUUUGACGGGUAGCCGGCCUGAGAGGGUGACCGGCCACAUUGGGACUGAGAUACGGCCCAGACUCCUACGGGAGGCAGCAGUGGGGAAUAUUGCACAAUGGGCGGAAGCCUGAUGCAGCAACGCCGCGUGCGGGAUGACGGCCUUCGGGUUGUAAACCGCUUUCGCCUGUGACGAAGCGUGAGUGACGGUAAUGGGUAAAGAAGCACCGGCUAACUACGUG